rnacentral:rRNA from 1 species
AUGCACGCUGGCGGCGUGCCUAAUACAUGCAAGUCGAGCGAACGGACGAGAAGCUUGCUUCUCUGAUGUUAGCGGCGGACGGGUGAGUAACACGUGGAUAACCUACCUAUAAGACUGGGAUAACUUCGGGAAACCGGAGCUAAUACCGGAUAAUAUUUUGAACCGCAUGGUUCAAAAGUGAAAGACGGUCUUGCUGUCACUUAUAGAUGGAUCCGCGCUGCAUUAGCUAGUUGGUAAGGUAACGGCUUACCAAGGCAACGAUGCAUAGCCGACCUGAGAGGGUGAUCGGCCACACUGGAACUGAGACACGGUCCAGACUCCUACGGGCGGCAGCAGUAGGGAAUCUUCCGCAAUGGGCGAAAGCCUGACGGAGCAACGCCGCGUGAGUGAUGAAGGUCUUCGGAUCGUAAAACUCUGUUAUUAGGGAAGAACAUAUGUGUAAGUAACUGUGCACAUCUUGACGGUACCUAAUCAGAAAGCCACGGCUAACUACGUG